UUGGGGUAGCAAGGGGGGUUCUUCUUCUGGUUCAAGAUCAUCGCGGUCCCGGGAGCAGGAGAGUCAGCCAUCCGAGACGUCCGUGAGACGUACUCCAGCAUCGACAGGCUCGUCGCCUCAUUCCCUCACAACGGUCAGUACAUCGGGGAGAAAGAGAAUAUUUCAGAAGCGCGACCAACCACAGACAAGCGGGAGAGGAAACAGCAAAUUACCCCAAGCUUUGCGGUCCUCUUCAUACGAAGAAGACUUCGACGAAUUAAAGAAUGUUUACAAGUGGGGAAAAAAAUCGCAGUACCCAGAGAAAACCCACUCGUGCGAGGGGGCAACGUUCGAGUCCGUACAGAUGGAAGGCGUGGAGUCCACAUUCGAUGCACUGCCAUCUCCUCGCAAGGCAGGAUGGUGCUGUGGUUCGCGUAGUAUGAUGAGCCAGGUUACCUGAGUUCGAUUCCCACUCAUUCCCAAUAACAGUUACGAAUAUGUGAACUGGUUCGAGUUCGUCUCAGUCCUUUUUUGAGUUGUUGAUGCAGUGUGUAAAUUGAAGGCGCGGUAUACAAGCAGUCCCCGCCUUACGAACGUAUGACUGACGAACAUCCACCCUUACGAUUGAACCGCCAGUUGCUGUUGUUUUAACCAUCUGACUUGCGAACGUUCGCACGUACUCGCGAAUUAAACAGCGGAACUCCUUUGUUUGGCAGAGCAAUCA